GACGAACGCUGGCGGCGUGCUUAACACAUGCAAGUCGAGGGCACUUUGGGGGCGAACCCUGGAGUGACCGGCGAACGGGUGCGUAACACGUGAGCGACCUUGCCUCGUGGUGGGGGAUAGCCGGCCCAACGGCCGGGUAAUACCGCAUAUGGUGCUGACUCCGCAUGGAGACGGCAGCAAAGCCCUGGAGCAAUCCAGUGGCGCCACAGGGGGGCGGUCUCGGCCGUAC
rnacentral:rRNA from 1 species